rnacentral:rRNA from 1 species
AUGGAUCCAAGCGAUAUAUUGAAUGUGCGGUUUCAUGUCGGUGGACAAUUUGUUUGUAUUGGUCCUAAUUUGGACUAUGUUGGGGGAGAUGAGGCAAUGUCAGUGAUAGAGAGAGACAAACUGUCUUUGCCAUAGUUGAAAGGCUUCCUAGGUGAUCACAUUACCUUCAAAGAAAGUAGGAAAAAAUACUUUCUGGUACCUGGUAAAGAAUUAGUUGAUGGCCUUUUAUUUCUAAGUGAUGAUGCUGGCUGCAUGAAGAUGUCUGAUUGCACAACAGAUGGUGGAGUGGCUGAGGUUUAUGUGGAGUAUUUUGGGGAGCAGGAGGAGGGGAGUGGCAGUGAAGACAGCAUAAGUAACUUUCAGGAAGAGAUGGGGAAUGAGGCUGAUGAAGAAAGCGAUGUUGCUCCUGAUGCUAUUAUAAUUGCAGAAGAUGAUAUUCAGUGUAGUGUUCCAAAUUCUCAGUUUACUACAACAAUUGAUCAUGUGCUUUUACUCAAUCAGAGAGGAGUGAUAACUGAAGAAAUUUGUAGCCCUACAAAACAGAAGUCCAGGAAGAAAAAUAGGAGUGAUACAUGGCACAGCUCUCAAGUGAAUCUCUCUAAAGAUUUUAUAACCAGUAGCUCUCAGGUACUAGAUUUUGCAUCACAAGUUGGUAGUUCUGCAAUCAUUAGUGUUGGGGAACGUUGCAUAAAAUAA